rnacentral:rRNA from 1 species
GACAGAGGGUGCAAACGUUGUUCGGAAUUACUGGGCGUAAAGCGCGUGUAGGCGGCUCUGCAAGUCAGGUGUGAAAUCCCACGGCUCAACCAUGGAAGUGCACUUGAAACUGCAGGGCUAGAGUCCUGGAGAGGAAGGUGGAAUGCUUGGUGUAGAGGUGAAAUUCGUAGAUAUCAAGCGGAACACCGGUGGCGAAGGCGGCCUUCUGGACAGUGACUGACGCUGAGACGCGAAAGCGUGGGGAGCAAACAGG